rnacentral:ncRNA from 1 species
UACCUGGUUGAUCCUGCCAGUAGUCAUAUGCUUGUCUCAAAGAUUAAGCCAUGCAAGUCUAAGUACGAGCUCUCGUACAGUGAAACUGUGAAUGGCUCAUUAAAUCAGUUAUGGUUCAUUUGAUCGUACAGUUUACUUGGAUAACUGUGGUAAUUCUAGAGCUAAUACAUGCGAGAAGCGCCGACCUCGCGGGAGGCGUGCAUUUAUCAGACCAAAAACCGGCCGCGUCUUCGGGCGCGUUCGCCUUGGUGACUCUGGAUAACUUUGCGGAUCGCACGGUCUAGCACCGGCGACGGAUCAUUCAAGUGUCUGCCCUAUCAACUUUCGUCGGUACGGUAUUUGCCUACCGAGGUUCUUACGGGUGACGGGGAAUCAGGGUUCGAUUCCGGAGAGGGAGCCUGAGAAACGGCUACCACAUCCAAGGAAGGCAGCAGGCGCGCAAAUUACCCAUUCCCGACGCGGGGAGGUAGUGACGAAAAAUAACAAUGCAGGAAACGUUCGAGGCCCUGUAAUUGGAAUGA